CAUGGGGAACCUGGAGCCUAUCCCAGGGAGCAUCGGGCACAAGGCGGGGUACACCCUGGACAGGGUGCCAGUCCAUCGCAGGGCACACUCACACACCCAUUCAUACUCUACGGACACUUUAGACACGCCAAUCAGCCUACCAUGCAUGUCUUUGGACUGGGGGAGGAAACCGGAGUACCCGUUGGAAACCCCCGCAGCACGGGGAGAACAUGCAAACUCCGUACACACAGGGCCACAGUGGGAAUCGAAAGCCCGACCCUGGAGUUGUGAUAUAUAUAUAUAUAUAUAUAAAAUUCUCCAUUUACCGGAACGUGAGGGAGCCCGUGUGAGUCAAGACACGUGAGGGAAAGUGUAGGUUAAUAUUAAGAGUUCAAAACACCUGCGCAAAUCAUUCCUGAUUAAUAUGCUUGUUUUAUUGGGGAGGAAGAGACUGUUCUUUUGACAUAUUUUGGCACGAUCACUCAUACUAGCAUACUCUGAUGUUAAAUUGCGGCAGGUCUGGUAACGGAAUACAACCAGAAUAAAUGUCACUACAUAUCAUGUCAGUAAUAUCAUGUACCGUAGGGACGAUAAUAUCCUUAGAUCACACUAAACCUAUCUGGUAUUGCGCAAUAAUGAAAUCUGCUGUGCGCUGCAAAAACAGACUGUGACCUUAAUGGACAGGAGAUAAGUAUCUAUAGUUCACAAAACCACAGAGCUUACUAAACUGACUGACAUCUGCUCCUCCACCCAGAAAAACAAACAGCCUUUCUGCCUCACACAAACACAGCAGCAGAAAUGUUUAACAGCUAAACAUUAUAAGAAACGUGGAGUAAGAAGGAUAACCAACACCAAGGAAUCAAUACAACCGGUUUUAUCCUGAAUCGAGGGUCAUUCUUUCCUCUGCAGGCAUCCUGAGGUGUUGUGGAAUUGGAGGCGCUGGGCUCAAAGGUCAACGCGGCAGGUUUCCAGCUUAUUGCUGAGGGAGUGGCAUGGGACAGUGUGGAGUGAAAAUGUUCUCAAGUGCCUGCAGGGAUCACCAAUAUUAGGCACCUAAAAAGGAUGACUGCUGACAGAACGUCGAUUUCCAGAUCAGCAGGCGCUGAUUCGUUUUCUACUUUUCUGUGACUGGACUUCUGGCUGCGAGCGCAAUGAAACCCAGCACUCAUUAGUUUAAUAGAAAGUAGCAUAAACGCUGAUCAGAUCAUGACGGUGAGGACACAGAUCUGAUAAUGACGCAGGGGAAACAGCUCGUGUGAUGACGUAACCUGGAUAAUUAAGGAUGCGGAUCUGGUGGCUACCCCGCGGACAUGGCAUCCUUGUGGCUGUUUUGAAUUUUCUCAUUACAAUUGAGUAUUAUUAAAACGCUGCAUGUUUGGAUACAGUGUUGUUUUGGUGGUUAGGGUUAGGUGUUACAAUGAUAUCAUUUUUG